GGCCUUAGAAAUUAGUUCAGCAAUGAAAUGGUUAAUAGGAUGAGUAAAGGCUAUUUUUAAGUCUGGCUCCCCUUUCUGAUACACUCUUGAAAAUUCACCCUGUACUGCAGAAAUCCUAAAUUGCAGUGCCCUGCACCCCACUGAAACUCUUCAGUCUGCUCACUGUGGAAGCUGUUUCUGUCGAAGAGGUCAGAAAUAGAAGAUAAAACCCUUGACGGUGCAUCUGCUGAUCAAGCACAAAGCAGUCAGGAAGUAGGGGUGAGGGUGUAGGUAUUUCCCUGCCAUCCUUACGAAGUCCCCCUCAAGCUACAUUGGAUGUUCACAUAGGAAAUGAUCAACACUCUUCAGUGUGCACAGGCCUACAGAAGACUUUCAGAGGGGCUGACAGACUGUGGACCCAUCAACUGGCUUCCUUGCCCUCCAGCUUCCAGUAGGCUUCAGCCAAGGAGACAUGGGGAAGAAAUGAAAGGAAGAAGACUAAGAUUGGGUCUUUAUUGGAGUAUUUAUUGCCUUGAUGGAAGAUCCAGCACCUGUUGGGUGACUUUCUCACAGAGAUCUGUGUGCCCUUCCUUUCCCGUGAUCAAAGCACUGAGGUGGAUUCUUUACUGCUGAGCCACUGGGGAAGCCCACUAACACUGGACUGCCAGAGAUGAGGAAACAGAAAGAUUGAAUGAUUUGCCCUCAGCUAGUUGGCUGAGUAUUCAACACGGUCACUUCAGUCAUGUCCAGCUCUUUGCAACUCCAUGGACUCUAGCCUGCCAGCUCCUCUGUCUGCGGGAUUCUCCAGGCAAGAAUACUGGAGUGUCCAUCUCCCUCUCCUGCAUCUCUUAUGUCUCCUGCAUUGUCAGGUGGGUUCUUCGCCACUGGUGCCACCUGGGAAGUCCCUUCUAAUGCAAGCUCUGGUGCUCUUACUGAUGCUGACCCCUCUUACAGUCAGGGGCAGGGGUGAUAGACUUCUGCCACUUGGUAUGUACAGAAGUCACAGGGAGUCAGAGUGAGUAAAUAUUUUUGUCUUUUUUUUUUGGGUGGGGAGAUUUAUAUUAACAAGGGGCAGCCCUGACAGCAUGCAUUAAUAGACUGUCUAGCACAGCGUAUGGCACACAGUAACUGUCUAGCAAAUUACCUCUCCUUAUCGAUUCUAGAGCAAUCUUGAUAACAUUUAUAAAAAUAUCUUGCUGGGAUUUUGAUAGGAAUUGUGUUAAGCCUGUAAAUCAACUUGAGGAGAAUAAAUAUC
ensembl:lncRNA